ensembl:snRNA U6 U6 spliceosomal RNA
GUGCUAGCUUCGGCAGCAUGUAUACUGAAAUUGGAACAAUACAGAGACUAGCAUGGCCCCUGCACAAGGAUGACAUGAAAUUUGUGAAGCAGUCUAUAUUUUA